CUCAAAAUAAACCAAUCUUUCAUUAUACAUGUUUGACUCUUCGUCUUAUUAAAAGAAUUUUGCGAUUAACAUUUUUAUUUUUAUUAGAUGAUAAAUCAUGAAUAUUACUCUACAUGUGAUUAAUUUUUUUUAAUUUCUUAAAAAUAUUUUAAAUAAGACAGAUGGUCAAAUGUUUGGUACGAAAACCAAAAGUUUGGUUUAUU
rnacentral:pre_miRNA from 1 species